GGAUGAAGAAAGAAAAACACGAAGCAUAGAAACCGUUUGUGGCGACGUUUUUGGAUCACUUCUGGUCUUGUUUUGACAAGCAGGGGCUUGCAGCUACUUUUGAUUUCAGAUAAAGCACACACUGGGAAAGCUCACUCCACGGCGAUGAGUCCUGAUAGAAAGAUUAUGGCAUGGAAGGACAGCUGGGCAGAACAAACGAAAAACAAACAAAACCAAAGCCUACAUCUCAGGCGCUGGUGUGCGUUUUCUGUUAAGAAGCAGGGAACUUCAGAUCCCACUGACAAAGGCCAAGUCGCUCACAGAACAUUAUAUGUG
rnacentral:lncRNA from 1 species